GAUGAAGAACGCAGUGAAAUGCGAUAAGUAAUGUGAAUUGCAGAAUUCAGUGAAUCAUCGAAUCUUUGAACGCACCUUGCGCUCCUUGGUAUUCCGAGGAGCAUGCCUGUUUGAGUGUCAUUAAUAUAUCAACCUUCACUUGUUGAAUGGUUUGGAUGUGGGGGUUUGCUGGUCUCUUAAAGGGUUCAGCUCCUCUAAAAUGCAUUAGCAGAACAAUCUGUUCAUUGGUGUGAUAACUAUCUACGCUCUUGAAUAAGAUGCAGUUCAGCUUUCUAACUGUCCUCGGACAAUUUAUCAUUUAUGUGACCUCAAAUCAGGUAGGACUACCCGCUGAACUUAAGCAUAUCAAUAAGCGGAGGA
rnacentral:misc_RNA from 1 species